rnacentral:rRNA from 1 species
CUGGGUUGGAACCCUCCAGAAGUCCGCAGAGACGCGGAUGUGCUCGCAAGAGAACUGGAUGUCCAGGUGCUGCAUGGCUGUCGUCAGCUCGUGUCGUGAGAUGUUGGGUUAAGUCCCGCAACGAGCGCAACCCUUGUCGUUAGUUGCCAGCGGUUCGGCCGGGCACUCUAACGAGACUGCCGGUGUUAAACCGGAGGAAGGUGGGGAUGACGUCAAGUCCUCAUGGCCCUUAUGCCCAGGGCUACACACGUGCUACAAUGACCGGUACAAAGGGUCGCUAACCCGCGAGGGUACGCUAAUCUCAAAAAACCGGCCUCAGUUCAGAUUGGAGUCUGCAACUCGACUCCAUGAAGUCGGAAUCGCUAGUAAUCCCUGAUCAGCAGGCAGGGGUGAAUACGUUCCC